rnacentral:miRNA from 1 species
UGAGAUUGACCCUUCAGUAGUUACU